rnacentral:rRNA from 1 species
UGGUGGAGUGAUUUGUCUGGUUAAUUCCGUUAACGAACGAGACCCCUGCCUGCUAAAUAGCUCAGUGAGUGAAUUUUCACUGACUGUCAGCUUCUUAGAGGGACAUGCAUUCUAUUAGAUGCAGGAAGAUAGGGGCAAUAACA